AUGCAGUUUUUCUUUGAGACAUUCCAUCAAACACUUUGCCAAUUUUGGAGAAUUUAUGUGAAAACUGUAUACUGCAGCAUGUGUGUCUUUUAUUGCUUUGUGAAUCUGUUCUAGAGCCAUUCUAAGAUCCUUUUGAGUGCCAACUUUCAUUGCAAACCGAAUUAAUUGCUUGAUUGUCUUGAUUGGAAAUCUGUCACCAAGUGUUUGAUGAAAGUCCUUGGUGCAAAUUCUGUUUGAUAUUUCCAACAGUAGCAAAAUCUAUUUUCUGUGGCAAUUACAUUGAUCUGGUUGAUUCUUUGUGAGUGUUUUGUGGCUGCAGAAAAGCUUCAAGCAAUUACCUAUUGUUGGUAGCAUAUUAGAAAGAAGAUUGGUGAGGUUAAAGUUGGUUGAAGGGUGGCUUGGUGUUGCAGAUUUCUCACGGCAGAGUGCAGAAUUUG
rnacentral:lncRNA from 1 species